CCAGCCCCCAAGAGGCUGAACGACCAUCUGCCAGAGAUUUUGGAGAGAGGGCUCUUUCUCUGGCAGAGAGAAAUUUGACUUCAAGAAAGGAAAUUGUCUCCAAGGAAGAACAAAAAGAAACCAGGGCCUCUCCAAAGGCUAUCACGAGUCUAGAUUGCUAACCCUUAUUAGCAAGCAAGAGACCAGAUUCUCUAGAACAAAGAAGUAUAAGAUACUUAAGCUCCAAGACUAUCAGGUGCUUCUGAGAUUCCUGAGGAAGUAGUUGAUGAUGAAGAGUUUGAUUGGGAAUUUGAGCAGACACCCUAUGAAGCGGUAUCAGAAAGUGCUUUGAAUCCGCCGUGCCACUAUGGAUUUGGAAACUUACGAUCAGGGGUAUUUCAGCAGUUACAGUUUGGACAGUCACGUACACCCAUGUAAUUAUCACUGAAAGAAGAUUCAAAAUAUUUCCAUCACCCCAGAAAAUAUACUCACACCAUACCACUUUCCAUGUAAUACUCCACACCUGGAGCAGCAGCCCCUUUAC